rnacentral:pre_miRNA from 1 species
UUAACUCAAGUUUGUAUGGAGUCGGGACAGCUUCUCUUCGUUUGUCGAUAGGAGCAUUGUUCUAACUCAAUACAAAUUUGAGUUA